UCCCUGUUACCAGGGCAGUCUAGCCAGAAAAAUUCAACUGGCUAUAAGGGUUGCGCUCGUUAAUGGACUUAACCAAACAUCUCACGACACGAGCUGACGACGGCCAUGCAUCACCUGUCACUUGGGCCCGAAGGCACCAACUGCUUUCGCAGAAGUUCCAAGGAUGUCAAGCCUGGGUAAGGUUCUUCGCUUACCGUCGAAUUAAACAACACGCUCCACCGCUUGUGCGGGUCCCCGUCAAUUCCUUUAUGUUUUAAGCUUGCGCUCGUACUCCACAGGCGGGAUGCUUAACGCGUUAGCUUCGCUACUACACGGGUCGAUACGCAUAACAGCUAGCAUCCAUCGUUUACGGCGUGGACUA
rnacentral:misc_RNA from 1 species